UGUCCAGUAGCACCUUAGAGACCAACUAAGUUUGUUCUUGGUAUGAGCUUUCAUGUAUCUGAAGAAGUGUGCAUGCGCACGAAAGCUCAUACCAAGAACAAACUUAGUUGGUCUCUAAGGUGCUACUGGACA
rnacentral:miRNA from 1 species